UAGCGCUGUUCAGUGUCAGUCAUGGUGCGGGAGACAUAGGCAACUGGUCUGGGACCCUUCCCGUCUUCUUGUAGGCAAGCAACGCCCAGUCCAUACUGGGAGGCAUCACAGGUGAGGGUGGCGGGUCCCAGAUCAUUUG